AUUGUUACGCGAGGCAUCUUAUUUCUGUGCGUGGGUGUGUUUAUCAUUCUGCUUCAUCUUAUAUAGAGCUUCAUGCCAAUGCCGGAGCACGAGUCCGGCAACCAAGUUUAUUACUGAUGGUUUUGAAUAUUGUCUUGUGCAGGUUUAAUUUCUCACCUAAUGCAAAUACAAUCAUCAUCAGCUUUUACAGUGACACAAGCCUUGCAAGAUCUUCAAGUCAAGAAUCAUAGACAGCUGGCGAUGCAAUUGUAUACGAAGUUUCAGCACUCGCUUUCCAAUUUGAACGUAAUUAUUACUUAGCCGUCCAAACGCG
rnacentral:lncRNA from 1 species